rnacentral:lncRNA from 1 species
CGACACAGUGGAACUGCCUAUUGCGUUGCGGAAGAGGACAUGUGAAGCGGCAAGGAAAGGUGAAGUGGCAAGGAGGGCUCUACCACAGGAUGGCUUUGACGAUCAUGACAUUAGCAAUUUUGUGUCCUAUGAGGCUUUGUCUCCUUCCUAUAGAGCGUUUGUUGCCUCUCUACAAACCGUGUCAGUCCCAAAGGAUUGGAAGGCUGCAAAGCAAGAUCCAAAGUGGCGUGAAGCAAUGAUAGAGGAGUUGGAAGCACUAAAGAAAAACAAGACGUGGGUGCUCACCAUAUUACCAG